rnacentral:rRNA from 1 species
UAGGGAAUCUUCGGCAAUGGACGAAAGUCUGACCGAGCAACGCCGCGUGAGUGAAGAAGGUUUUCGGAUCGUAAAACUCUGUUGUUAGAGAAGAACAAGGACGUUAGUAACUGAACGUCCACUGACGGUAUCUAACCAGAAAGCCACGUCUAACUACGUGCCAGCAGCCGCGGUAAUACGUAGGUGGCAAGCGUUGUCCGGAUUUAUUGGGCGUAAAGCGAGCGCAGGCGGUUUCUUAAGUCUGAUGUGAAAGCCCCCGGCUCAACCGGGGAGGGUCAUUGGAAACUGGGAGACUUGAGUGCAGAAGAGGAGAGUGAAUUCCAUGUGUAGCGGUGAAAUGCGUAGAUAUAUGGGGGAACACCAGUGGCGAAGGCGGCUCUCUGGUCUGUAACUGACGCUGAGGCUCGAAAGCGUGGGGAGCAAACAGG